GGAGAAGACUAAGCAAGAGCCCGCCCACCCCGCCCGCACUUUUUAACCAUCCCUUGAAAUAGUGUGUUGACUUUACCUUUCUUUUCCUAUAACCUUACCUUAAGACUAUUGAGUAUCCCUCUUUCUAAAGCUCCUCAAACCUCACUCCCCGCAAAACCCACCCUUGUUCCUUGGACAGGCAUUAGAACUGUGUGAUUCCACUUCUCUGGGUUUGAGGCCCAAAUGUCCAUACGGCAAGGUAACCAUGACGACAGAAAGGUGCACAUAACGCAGCAACGUUACCAACGGAUGCAGAGAGAGGCCCACAAUGCAACUCAACUCAUCUCCGACGAGACCCGAGAAUGAGCGGGUCUCGCUCGUCAACUUUUAUAUAGAGAUUUCUUGCUUUCUUUCUCUCUCUCUCUUUUUUAAAUAUUUUGUCAUUUUUUAAAAAUAGUAUAUAUAAUAUAUAUUUUUCUCUCUUAAGAAAUGUAAAAAUGUGGGUAAAGAAAGUAAAAAAGAAAAAAAACACACCAACCUUCUCGUAGCUCUGAGGGAUGUUAAGGGGGUUUGAUGCAGAACACAAUGACAUGAGGAGAAGAGAGAAAAUAGGGGAAACACAGAGAGAGUAAAAAAAGGCCUUCACAGCUGGCAGCUGCAAAUUGAUUUGCUUUCUCUUUUCCGUCUUUAACUUAAAAAAAAAAAAGCUUAAAAAGAAAUCUCAAAUCUCCCACUCUUUCCUGUCCAUCAGGGCUGCCCAGAGGUCGGCAUGGGCACCAUUUUGACAAGGCCAUGGCAGGGGAGGUGCCCCAAUAUCUUCACUGAUGUUGGUGCCACGGCCUGCCAGUGUCGCAGGAGGGGGGGCCCCUGCUUUGGGCCCCCCAAGGCCCAUGGCUCCCCUGAGCAGCCCUGUACCCCAAAUCCCAGCCUCCAAAAUAUCACGAUUUUGAGCCCCCCGUGGCUCAGGGAACAAGUUAGCAAAAUGUACAGCAUAGCACCCAAAACCAAGAGGACCAGGUUUCUUUCCCCUUUGGCAUCCUCACCGUUGUUCGGCUCCUCUGCCAUGAUCAAGGAAGAGAUCGCACCAGGUGCAACAAAAACCCUGAAACCAUGGGCAAGGCAUGUCAGCAUGGGGCUAGGGUGGGGGAGAAGCUUCCCGGGAUGUCAGAGAUGUGAAUUCCCAGAACCCACAAGUUGGUUCUCGCUGCAAAUUGACCUCUCGCAAGAAACAAGGUGAAGCUGGAAUAACUAGCACUGUCCCCUGCUCCCCUCCCCAGGGGAUGGUCACUCAGAAUCCAACCCCCUGGAACCUCCUCAGUUUUUGUAUGUCGUUUCUCAUACUUCCAGCGAAAUGACCAGACUGGCAACAUGGGCUAACACCCAUGCGGACAUGCCUUUAAAAAAACAAAACAAAACAAACCUUUCCAACUUCAGCUCCCAGCCUCCCCCUCCAAACUAACUCAAAAAUAGGAAAACAGAGACCAUCUCCUUCAAAUCUUAGCCUAUCUCCCAAAUUCUUUGUAGAGACACAAGCAUGUUACGAGAGAAACCAUUUGAAAUUCAGAAAACUGCAAGCAUGUUCAAGACUCUUUGGAAACAACAGGAGAAAGGAAAAGAAAUUACAAUGCACACAACCACCCCGCCUCCCAAACACACACGGACCCAAUAAUUCCUUUGAAAGACUCAAUUCCCUCUUCAUGGAUAUAAAGACAAAAGGAAAAUGGAAGUUAUUUAAGAUAGCAUGAAAAGACAGUUAGUUAGCCAGCCUCCAUGGCCCUUGAGAUGUUGACCACAUCUAGAACAGAGGUGUCCAUUUUGAACUCAACACAGAAGUCUUCAUAAACAACAUACACAUUGGUUUCAAGAGGGCCUGAGGUUUAGCUGGCUCCCAAAAGUUUGCAUAAGUAGCGUGUGCAAUUAGUUAUCUAUGGCUGGUGGUUUAGGAGCAGACAUCUGUCAGGUUGAUUUUAAAUGCGCUUCUCUGGGUAGUGUCAUGUAGGCGAUUCACACUAGCACUGAUUGUUCUAAUUCCAUGUAAUGCUUGUGUUGUGUCCCCAGGUCUGCUAUUGCACAGAGCAUAGUAGAACAACAUAAGCAUCCAUCUUUGCACAAGAAAAGAGGUCUCUUUAGCUCUCAAGCGGAGAAAAAGAAUAAAAUUCACUCAAGAAACCAACCACAUGGGAAAGAGGAACUAUGUGAAAGGGUCUUCUCGGGAAGAAUGAGCACUUUCAAAUUACAGCAGAAUUAAAAUUCUCAUCUACAUAAAACCGAUAUAAAGGAGGAGAACAACUCCAAAAGGGUCUUGGAUUGUGCAAACUCAGCCCAACACCCCAGGUUGCUGCAUUAGGCAGAAAUACCUAGAAGGCUUCUGCACAACACUGGCUAAUAGAUUCCAUAUUGCUGGUUGUCUACCCAGCAGUCCAGACAGACUUUACUAACAGAAGGAAAAUACAUUUUCUUUUUCUCCCGCCCCAAAGUUAAUUUUUAAUUCUUCAGUGUGGAGAAUAUUAAACAUUUAAAUGUUUUCUCUCCCUCGGCAUGUGAGACAGAGCGGGGAGGAUAGAGAGAUGGCAUUGCAACAUCAACAGGCGUACAAAAUAUAGCCGAAGAAGCAGCCCUCAAAUCAGCCUCGUGGUAAGCCAAAGAAGCCUCCAGAUCGGUCUCACAUAGAUCUGACUUGGCCAGUCAACGCUCUCAGAAAAGGGUUUCUCAGCCCAUUCGCCAGGCCAACAUUUUCUAUAGCCAUGGAGGUAAGAUGCCCGUUCCUAUUCCUUUUUCUCUGCUAAGUGUGGCAGCUUUUCCAACCAUGGAGAUGCAAAAGGCUUUGCCUGCUGGUACCAGCAGCUGUGAAAGGUGUGAAAGAGCCCGGCCAGCAAAAAGCAAAUGAUGGCACCUCUACAGUGUCACAACAGGCAACGGAUUUAAAGUUACCCCUCCAUUGUCCAAAUGACAAUGAAUUUCUUCUGGGGACUUCCUGGCCCACGUCAACAUUUUGAUUCAUAUGAUCGCUUUCAUGACGUAGAGAUGUGAGUGGAACUGAAAGAUCUGUGCCAUUACUUCACCCUCGUGCUUCCCCUACAACACACACCCCAUGCAGUUUUGGGGGAGUUUCAAUGGACCGAUCUCGUGCUUGGCAUGGAAAUAUCCUGAAUCUGUGUAUGAUCCACGUCCUUCAAUGAGGUUGUGGCUUAUGUUGUUCCUUUCCAAAUAGCGGGGGCAAAAGAUGGGGAAAUGAGGUCCCAUUUAGCAAGGGUGGAUCCUAAUCUCUUCUUCAGGACAAAUGCCAAUUAAUAGGGAUGUGGCAGAGCACCUACCCAAUCUCUCACCUCAAGGGGGACGCAGCUCCACGUCCCAGGCACCAUAUUGAAAACAGGAGGCCCUAAAUGCUCAGUUCUCACUUUGCUGUGGGACGGGAAGCUCCCAUGAUUAUACUGUAGUGAAAAACAUUCUUUACUCCAGGACAUCUGGGGGAAAUUUAGCUCUGGUCUUUUAGAAGGAAAAGGAGGACUAGGGUUGUGAACUGGUGCAGACCCAGGGACUGGAUUGUCGGGGAGACAGAACAGUCCCAAGUCCCUGAUGAUUAGGUCCCUGUCAAGCAAUGGUCUCUACAGACACAUCCACACGGCAAACAUAAAUCAGUUUUUAAAAAAAACACAACCUAGGUUAAGCAUGGAGGCUGCUCCUGAAAAAUUCCCACCAUGUGGUAAGAAUUCUGUUAGAUCUUAGAAUUCCCAGCAUUCCUUGGGGCGGGAUCCAUAAUGGCCUCUGCUUUAUUACCACAUCCAUGCUCUUUUUCUGAAUACCAAGUCAGUUUCAAAAAUAAACAUCACAGAGGAACAGUAGACUUCCCCCCCAUGGGGUUUGGAUCUGUUCUAUGGGGGGGAACUAGAAGUCCACUAUCCAAGCUGGGUGCAGGGUACACUUGACCAUGAACGUCAUCCCACUACCAUUAGAAAGGUAACUCUUAUUUCCAUAUUCUCAGUUGCAUUAGCCUAAUACUCAGUCAAGACUGCACCCCUUUGCUCAUUUCCUUCCAGUACUGAACAUUUCAGUUUGGUAAAAACAACAAUACGGCAGGGACCCAAAGGAGGAAGCCCGUCAAGGGCUAGAGGGCAGGGUGUGUGCGCAAAUAGGUCGAAUUGCCACUGUUGCAAGCCACGGCGCUCCCUACCUCUCACGUAUAGGUUAGC